AGAGUUUGAUCAUGGCUCAGGAUGAACGCUGGCGGCGUGCUUAACACAUGCAGGUCGAACGAUUAACCCAUCUUCGGAUGGUUAUAAAGUGGCGAACGGGUGAGUAACACGUGACCAACCUGCCUUUCACAUUGGGAUAACUUAGAGAAAUUUAAGCUAAUACCAAAUACUCUUAUCAAAGCGCAUGCUUUGAUAAGGAAAGCUUUUGCGGUGAAAGAUGGGGUCGCGGCCCAUUAGGUAGUUGGUGGGGUAGAGGCCUACCAAGCCUACGAUGGGUAGCCGGGUUGAGAGACCGACCGGCCACAUUGGGACUGAGAUACGGCCCAGACUCCUACGGGAGGCAGCAGUGGGAAUUUUGCGCAAUGGGCGAAAGCCUGACGCAGCAACGCCGCGUGCGGGAUGACGGCCUUCGGGUUGUAAACCGCUUUCAGUGGGAAAGAUAAUGACGGUACCCACACAAGAAGCUCCGGCUAAAUACGUGCCAGCAGCCGCGGUAAUACGUAUGGAGCAAGCGUUAUCCGGAUUUAUUGGGCGUAAAGCGCGCGUAGGCGGCUUGUUAAGCAAGGUCUUAAAUCUUGGGGCUCAACCUCAAGUCGGAUCUUGAACUGGCAGGCUCGAGUAUGGUAGAGGAAAGUGGAAUUCCCAGUGUAGCGGUGAAAUGCGCAGAUAUUGGGAAGAACACCGAUGGCGAAGGCAGCUUUCUGGGCCAUUACUGACGCUGAGGUGCGAAAGCUAGGGGAGCAAACAGGAUUAGAUACCCUGGUAGUCCUAGCCGUAAACGAUGGGCACUAGGUGUGGGG
rnacentral:rRNA from 1 species